UUACAGGAAUGUAAGGGUUUUAGGUGGAUGCCUAGGAUAAGAGAAGCGAUGAAGGACGUGAUAUGGCUGCGAUAAGUUUCGGCGAGGUGCCAAAUAACCUUCGACCCGGAAAUUUCCGAAUGGGGAAACCCUCCUGCUUUCAGCAGGAAUCUGUGUAUGCAGAUGCGCACCCAGGGAAGUGAAACAUCUCAGUACCUGGAGGAAUAGAAAGCAAUAAACGGAACUUUCUUUCUGAACGGAUGCCUAGCAUCACGUUCUGGAUUUAUCUUGAGCGGUGAUGCGAAAGUACCAUUACGUUCAGGAAGAAGGUUCUUGCGAUUCCCUUAGUAGCGGCGAGCGAAACGGGAACAGCCCAAACCAUUCGUGUUUACAUGAAUGGGGUUGUAGGGCAGAGUUGGCAUUUAGUUGCAAUGAGUUACAAAAUGUAUGUAUAGAAAAAUGCGUUGGAAAGCGCGACCCCAGUAGGUAAUAGUCCUGUAUUCGAAAUAUAUACAACUCAUCUGAUUCUGUUCCUGAGUAGUUCGGGACACGAAUAGCCCGAAUGAAUCUACCAGAACUAACUGGAAAGGCUAAAUAUUCUCUUAUACCGAUAGUGAACAAGUACCGUGAGGGAAAGGUGAAAAGAACCCCGGAGAGGGGAGUGAAAUAGAUCUGAAACCUAAAACUUACAAGGAGUCGGAGCCCAGCACUUUGUUUUGGAAUGAAUUCAAAAACAAAGUGCUGGGUGACGGCGUGCCUAUUGAAGAAUGAGCCGGCGAGUGUACCUUUAUCCUUCGUCUAAGUGGUAAUCCCACGGAGGCAUAGUGAAAGCGAGCGUGAAUAGCGCGAAAAUAUAGGAUAGGGGUACGACCCGAAGCGGGAUGAGCUUGCCAUGAGCAGGGUGAAGCGACUGUAAUAGGUCGUGGAGGCCCGAACCGGUUGGCCGUUCAAAACCAUCGGAUGACUUGUGGUAAGGAGUGAAAAGCUUAUCGAAUUCCGUAAUAGCUGGUUCUCUCCGAAACAGCUUUUGGGUUGGCGUCGUGUGAUCCCUCUGGGGGUAGAGCACUGGCAGGAACAAACAGGGAGAAAUCUCGUUGUUCCUAUCAAACUCCGAAUACCAGUAGGUUAUAGCACGGCAGUUAGACUGUGGGGGCGAAGCUCCAUUGGUCGAAAGGGAAACAGCCCAGAUCGCCGAUUAAGGUCCCUAAAUAUAUGCUCAGUGCAACUUGAGGAGGUGAGGAUUCUCCGACAAUCAGGAGGUUGGCUUAGAAGCAGCCAUCCUUUAAAGAUAGCGUAACAGCUCACUGAUCGAGAGUCCUUGCGCCGAAGAUGAUCGGGGCUCAAGCAUAUUACCGAAAUCGCGGAUUCGAGCGCAUCACAUUGCAUGUGAUGUGCAGUUGCAUAGUUUAAAAGUUGAACGGUUGCAUUGUACGCGUUUCGCGCGCCACUAUGCAACUUUGCAACCAUUUAACUAUUUAACUGUAGCAUCGCGCGCAGCGUGAUGCGUUCGAGUGGUAGGAGAGCGUUCGUAUUGCAAUGAAUCCAAGGCGAGAGCCGCGGUGGAGCGAUGCGAAGUGAGAAUGCCGGCACAAGUAACCGCAAGACGGGUGAGACCCCCGUCCGCCGAAAUACCAAGGUUUCCUUUGCUAUGUUGAUCAGCGAAGGGUUAGUCGGUCCUAAGGAAAUCCCGAAAGGGGGAUUCGAUGGAUAGCAGGUUAAUAUUCCUGCACACUGUUAUGUUGCGAUGGAGGGACGGAGGGUUGUACUUAACGCGACUUAUUGGAUUGUCGUAGGAGGUUCGAGGGUGCUAGAUAGGCAAAUCCGUCUAGCGUUAGCCCGAGUUCAGUCUAAAGGUGAGGCUUCGGCCGAUCUGAUGUUAGGGAGCACGCUUCCAAGAAAAACUUCUAAGCAUAAACAUAACGGUUCCGUACCGCAAUCCGACACAGGUGGUAGAGUCGAGAAGACUAAGGCGAACGAGUGAGAGGUCCUCAAGGAACUCGGCAAAUAAGCGGCCGUAACUUAGGGAUAAGGCCUGCCCAAUGCACCACUUUGUCCUCAACAAUGGAAAGAAGAAAAGUGGUGGCAAGAUUAAAAACACUUAAAGAAGCACGUGGCAAAGUGAUUGCGUGGUGCGAAAAAUUUGGUCUGGAUUAUUUUUGAAGAUGGCGACGAGCUCGUCAUUUCUGCUUAUGCAGACAAAAAAGAUGCUGAUGAGCUGCAAGCAGCUGCACGGCGUCUAUAGAAGUUGAGGCUAAAGUGGUGUAUUGGGCCGCAGCGAAAGAUUUCCUGCCGACUGUUUAUCAAAAACACAGCUCCCUGCGAACUCGCAAGAGGAUGUAUAGGGGGUGACGCCUGACCUAUGCUGGAAGGUUAAGUACGGGGGGUGAUAUGAUCUUCGGAUUGUAUUGCUGGACUGUAUAAGCCCCAGUAAAUGUCAGCGAUAACUAUAAUCGUUCUAAGGUUCAGCGUGUUAUUACCAACCUAGGACAUUCGAUGUCCUAGGUUGGCUCAAUGCGCUGACGGAUUGGAACGAUUAUAUGAGACCGCAAGGUCUCAUUGGUAAACAUCCUAGCCAUAGUUACCUUGCGCACCGAAAUGUGCGCAUAAUCCAAAUCUAGCCAACAAGAGACCAGAUGCUAGAUACCCAAGUGCCCUCCGAUUUAUCGGGAGUAACGGGUAAAGAUAGAGUCCUAUUGUGCAAGCGAAUAGGGAAUAUAGAGCGUAUUUCCUUGUCGGGUAAGUUCCGACGUGCACGAAUGGCGUAACGAGUGGGAAACUGUCUCGAGGACCUGCUCGGUGAAAAUACAAUCGCGGUAAAGAUGCCGCGUACCUGCAGAUAGACGAAAAGACCCCAGGAGCUUUACUGUAGCUUCGUAUUGAGGCUAUUGAAUUUAUGUGUAGCAUAGUGGGGAGACUUUGAAGCGGGCUUUCGGGUACCGUGGAGUCGCAAUAUGAAAUACCCAUCUUAAUUUUGGUAGUUUCUAACCUGGUUGAAAAAAUCAAUUAGGGACAGUGCGUGGCAGGCAGUUUUAGUGGGGCGCUACCCUCCCAAAAAGUAACGGAGGGGUCUCAAGGUUGGUUAGGCGCGAAUGGAAACCGUGCUGAUAGUGUAAUGGCAUAAACCAGCUUGACUGUAAGGCGUAGGUGCCAAACAGAUACGAAAGUAGAGCAUAGUGAACCGAUGGUCCGCGUUAGAUGCGGCCGGAGAUUACCCGAUAAAAGUUACCCUGGGGAUAACAGGCUAGUUGUGCCCAAGCGUCCAUAGCGACGGCACAGUUCGGCACCUCGAUGUCGGCUCGACUUAUCCUGGGGCUGGAGCAGGUCCCAAGGGUUUGGCUGUUCGCCAAUUAAAAAGUCACGCGAGCUGGGUUUAGACCGUACAGGUUCUAAUACGAAAGUAUUUGAAUUGGUACUUGUACCGUCUAAACCCCAUUGAGUAUUCGUUUAUUGAAAUAAAGAAAAGAACCAACCAUCACGGCGGCGAUGUGUAGUAAUACAUAUCGACAAGCUGGCUUAUAUCGGUAGAACCCAAUUGUGAAAACAAGGGCAAUACCGAGGGAAAGACUACCUAGUGUGUAGUGUGCCCGUAGAGACUGAACGCCAGACACCUUUAAUAAAGGUGAAGAUACAGUCCGAUCCUCAUAGUAAUGUGAGUAAACAAAAUGCGUGAGACAGGUUGGUCUCCUAUCUACUGCAGGCGUCGAUAUUUGAAGAGAUUUGUCCCUAGUAAGUAAAUUGCUACUUCAUGAAGAGAUUCAUGAUGACAACAUGGCUUAUAACGGUGAAGUCUACGUCAAGUCUGGUUUUAGAGGUUAAUACACCGCGGUCCUGUGUGUAUUAAACUCGCUUGAGGACCGGAAUAUUGAUAUGAUAAUACCGUGGGAAGUCGAUCCAAAACAGAUUUAGCAUACAUUGCUGGUUUCCUUGAUGGAGACGGAAGCUUAAUGUUGCAGGUUAAAUUACGCAGCGACACUAGUCGUGGCGUCAGAUUUAUGGCUACAUUAUGUCUCUAUCAAGAUACUCGCCACGAAGAACCACUUUUGUGGAUUCGUAAAGUGCUUGGCAUUGGUUACAUAUCUCAUCGUAAAGAUGGGAUGACCGAGCUGAGAGUUAAUGGUUUUGCUUCAAUACAAGAGGUACUUGUGAAACUCCGUCCGUUUAUUCGGUUUAAAAUUGUUCAAGCUGAUGCUUUACUGCAUGCUUGUGCAUUAUUAAAACUGAAAAAAAUAAGCGAAUUGUGUGAACAAGAAUUGCGCACCCUAGUAGAUUUAGUUUUUGUUAUCAGAAACUCUAACUACAAAAGUAACGCAACUCUGAGUAAAGAAGUAUUGCUUAAUCGUUUGGGUUUGACCCCGUAACGACUGUGGCGCACUUGCGCCCAACUUAUAUGUAGAGGAAUCAUUUCUUUGAAAAUGACUGCUCAUAUGGGUUACAUGCCAUCGCCCUCAUCGUACUUUUAGUACGGACGGGUGAAGAUAUAGUCUGUGCUCCUAGAAAUAGGGGAAUCAACGACGAGAGGACCGGGAUGAACUGACCUCUGGUCUAUCGGCUGUCACGCCAGUGGCACUGCCGAGUAGCUAUGUUGGGAAUGGAUAACCGCUGAAAGCAUCUAAGCGGGAAGCCAACUCUAAGAUUAGAUAUCAUUAAGUCCCCAGAGAGAUGAUCUGGUUGAUAGGCACUAGAUGGAAGUGCAGCAAUGCAUGGAGUCAAGGUGUACUAAUAGGACGUAAUUCCUGUAAGG
rnacentral:rRNA from 1 species